rnacentral:rRNA from 1 species
AGCUCCAAUAGCGUAUAUUUUAGUUGUUGCAGUUAAAAAGCUCGUAGCCGUAUUUCUGGUGGGAGAAUGCAGUCCGACUUUAUGUCGGUACUCGCAUCCUCCGGCCAUCCUUGGGUCUAGCCAGUUUGGCAUUAAGUUGUCGAGCUGGGGAUGCCCAUCGUUUACUGUGAAAAAAUUAGAGUGUUCAAAGCAGACUUAUGUCGUUGAAUAUAUUAGCAUGGAAUAAUAAAAUAGGACAUCAGUGCUAUUUUGGUGGUUUGCGCACCGAUGUAAUGAUAAAUAGGAACAGUUGGGGCUAUUCGUAUUCAUUUGUAAGAGGUGAAAUUCUUAGAUUAAAGGAAGACGAACUACUGCGAAAGCAUUUAGCAGGGAUGUUUUCA